CCGGAAUCGUCAGAUGAGCGAACUCCCUCUGGAUCGCCUUGAAGCAGCAGAGCUUCAUCCCGAGCUUCCUCCGACGAAGACGAAGCUUGCAGGAUUUGAACACCCGUGACUCGAACGUCUUUUAGGAUUGCGAUGGAAAAAAACUUAUGCAUCCAGCCGACGUUCGACCCCCAUUCCAGUAUGCAGUGCAGACAAAAAAAGGUAAUUAGUGUUCAGUGCCUUGCCCAAGGUCACUUUGACAUGCAGACAGUCGCAGCAGUGAAUCGAACCAGCGGGUCACUGGAAGUCGUGAGCCAAAGCCCCCCACGCCUACAACAUUAAGGAAAUCCCACAUCUGUACCAAUGGGUACAAACCUGCA